UACAGAGGGGGCAAGCGUUGUUCGGAAUUACUGGGCGUAAAGGGCGCGUAGGCGCCUUCUAAGUCGAACGUGAAAUCCCCGGGCUCAACCCGGGAACUGCGUCCGAUACUGGAAGGCUUGAAUCCGGGAGAGGGAUGCGGAAUUCCAGGUGUAGCGGUGAAAUGCGUAGAUAUCUGGAGGAACACCGGUGGCGAAGGCGGCAUCCUGGACCGGCAUUGACGCUGAGGCGCGAAAGCCAGGGGAGCAAGCG
rnacentral:rRNA from 1 species